rnacentral:rRNA from 1 species
UACAGAGGUCCCGAGCGUUAUUCGGAUUUAUUGGGCGUAAAGGGUGCGUAGGCGGCGGAGUAAGUUGGGUGUGAAAUCCCGAGGCUCAACCUCGGAAUUGCAUUCAAUACUGCUUCGCUCGAGUACUGGAGAGGAGGCUGGAAUUUACGGUGUAGCAGUGAAAUGCGUAGAUAUCGUAAGGAAGGCCGGUGGCGAAAGCGAGCCUCUGGACAGUUACUGACGCUGAUGCACGAAGGCCAGGGGAGCAAACGGG